AUUGAACGCUGGCGGCAUGCUUUACACAUGCAAGUCGAACGGCAGCGCGGGCUUCGGCCUGGCGGCGAGUGGCGAACGGGUGAGUAAUGCAUCGGAACGUGCCCAGUAGUGGGGGAUAGCCCGGCGAAAGCCGGAUUAAUACCGCAUACGACCUGAGGGUGAAAGCGGGGGACCGAAAGGCCUCGCGCUAUUGGAGCGGCCGAUGUCGGAUUGGCUAGUUGGUGGGGUAAAGGCUUACCAAGGCGACGAUCCGUAGCUGGUCUGAGAGGACGACCAGCCACACUGGAACGGAGAAACGGCCCAGACUCCUACGGGAGGCAGCAGUGGGGAAUUUUGGACAAUGGGGGAAACCCUGAUCCAGCCAUGCCGGGUGCGGGAAGAAGGCCUUCGGGUUGUAAACCGCUUUUGUUCGGGAAGAAAUCCUCUGGGCUAAUACCCCGGGGGGAUGACGGUACCGGAAGAAUAAGCACCGGCUAACUACGU
rnacentral:rRNA from 1 species